CGCUCCACUCCACAUUAUGGAGCGGGAAAAGCUGCAUAAAAAGGAGGAAACUCAUCCCUUCGGCUUAGGGUGCGGCAGUGUGGAGACCUGUCGCAAUGCACGACCGACUUUUGCGCGGCGUGUGAGGCGGUUCGUUGGAGAAGUCCGGGACCGUUAAAGUCAAAAGCAGUAUGGCA
rnacentral:ncRNA from 1 species